GACGUAGGGCGCGAGCGUUGUCCGGAUUUAUUGGGCGUAAAGAGCUCGUAGGCGGCUUGUCGCGUCGACUGUGAAAACCCGCAGCUCAACUGUGGGCCUGCAGCUGAUACGGGCGGGCUGGAGUUCGGUAGGGGAGACUGGAAUUCCCGGUGUAGUGGUGGAAUGCGUAGAUAUCGGGAGGAACACCAGUGGCGAAGGCGGUUGCCUGGGGCUUUGCUGACGCUGAGGCGCGAAAGCGUGGGGGAGCGAUCCGG
rnacentral:rRNA from 1 species